GGCCAAUGAUUUAAUCAAAAAAAUAGACAAGCAUAUGUCUGAAUUAAUCCUUGUUGAUAAAAUCUAAUCUUCUCUAUGAGGCCA